AGUGAACGCUGGCGGUAGGCCUAACACAUGCAAGUCGAACGGCAGCACAGUAAGAGCUUGCUCUUACGGGUGGCGAGUGGCGGACGGGUGAGGAAUACAUCGGAAUCUACUUUUUCGGGGGGGAUAACGUAGGGAAACUUACGCUAAUACCGCAUACGACCUACGGGUGAAAGCAGGGGAUCUUCGGACCUUGCGCGAUUGAAUGAGCCGAUGUCGGAUUAGCUAGUUGGCGGGGUAAAGGCCCACCAAGGCGACGAUCCGUAGCCGGUCUGAGAGGAUGGUCAGCCACACUGGAACUGAGACACGGUCCAGACUCCUACGGGAGGCAGCAGUGGGGAAUAUUGGACAAUGGGCGGAAGCCUGAUCCAGCCAUACCGCGUGGGUUAAGAAGGCCUUCGGGUUGUAAAGCCCUUUUGUUGGGAAAGAAAAGCAGCAGGUUAAUACCCCGCUGUUCUGACGGUACCCAGAGAAUAAGCACCGGCUAACUUCGUG
rnacentral:rRNA from 1 species